rnacentral:rRNA from 1 species
UACGGAGGGUGCAAGCGUUAUCCGGAUUCACUGGGUUUAAAGGGAGCGUAGGUGGGCUGGUAAGUCAGUGGUGAAAUCUCCGGGCUUAACCCGGAAACUGCCGUUGAUACUAUCAGUCUUGAAUGUUGUGGAGGUAAGCGGAAUAUGUCAUGUAGCGGUGAAAUGCUUAGAUAUGACAUAGAACACCGAUAGCGAAGGCAGCUUGCUACACAAUUAUUGACACUGAGGCUCGAAAAGCGUGGGGAUCA